rnacentral:rRNA from 1 species
CCUACGGGGUGCAGCAGUGGGGAAUAUUGGGCAAUGGGCGCAAGCCUGACCCAGCAACGCCGCGUGAAGGAAGAAGGCUUUCGGGUUGUAAACUUCUUUUCUGAGGGACGAAGAAAGUGACGGUACCUCAGGAAUAAGCCACGGCUAACUACGUGCCAGCAGCAGCGGUAAUACGUAGGUGGCAAGCGUUAUCCGGAUUUAUUGGGUGUAAAGGGCGUGUAGGCGGGAAAGCAAGUCAGAUGUGAAAGCUCAGGGCUCAACCCUGAGCCUGCCUUUGAAAAUGUUUUUCUUGAGUGCUGGAGAGGCAAUCGGAAUUCAGUGUGUAGCGGUGAAAUGCGUAGAUAUACGGAGGAACACCAGUGGCGAAGGCGGAUUGCUGGACAGUAACUGACGCUGAGGCGCGAAAGCGUGGGGAGCAAACAGGAUUAGAUACCCUAGUAGUC